CCCUUAGAUGUUCUGGGCCGCACGCGUGCUACACUGAGUGGAUCAGCGGGUCAGGUUGCGCGAAAGCGUUUCCUAAUCUUUAAAUCCGCUCGUGAUGGGGAUUGACGGUUGCAAUUUUCUGUCAUGAACGAGGAAUACCUUGUAAGCGCGGGUCAUCAUCCCGCGCUGAAUACGUCCCUGCCCUUUGUACACACCGCCCGUCGCUCCUACCGAUUGAGUGGUCCGGUGAAUUAUUCGGACUGCAACGCAACCAGUUCCUGGAUGCAGUUGCGGAAAGUUUUGUGAACCUUACCACUUAGAGGAAGGAGAAGUCGUAACA
rnacentral:rRNA from 1 species